UACGUAGGCAGCAAGCGUUGUUCGGAAUUACUGGGCGUAAAGAGCGUGUAGGCGGCCAGGUAGGUCUGGUGUGAAAACUCGAGGCUUAACCUCGAGAUGUCAUCGGAAACCAUCUGGCUAGAGUCCGGAAGAGGAGAGUGGAAUUCCUGGUGUAGCGGUGAAAUGCGCAGAUAUCAGGAAGAACACCAAUGGCGAAAGCAGCUCUCUGGGACGGUACUGACGCUGAGACGCGAAAGCGUGGGGAGCGAACAGG
rnacentral:rRNA from 1 species